UGUAAGCGUAUACCAAAGUUGUUGCAGUUAAAACGCUCGUAGUCGGAAUUUGGCAGUUCCGGAUGUGUGCACGUCGUGUGCGCACUUCGCGGGGAUUGCUUUUGUGGUCUUGCGUAGGAUGAGGCACUUUUAUUAGUGAACGUCCUCACGCAACCACUUUUUACUGUGAGAAAAUCAGAGUGCUCAAAGCAGGCAUUUGCCGUGAAUGUAUUAGCAUGGAAUAAUAGAAUAGGACUUGGUUCUAUUUUGUUGGUUUGUUGGGACUGAGUAAUGAUUAAUAGGGACAGUUGGGGGCAUUUGUAUUUCGGUGCUAGAGGUGAAAUUCUUAGAUUACCGAAAGACAAACUGCUGCGAAAGCGUCUGCCAAGGAUGUUUUCAUUGA
rnacentral:rRNA from 1 species